rnacentral:rRNA from 1 species
UACGAAGGGGGCUAGCGUUGCUCGGAAUCACUGGGCGUAAAGGGUGCGUAGGCGGGUCUUUAAGUCAGGGGUGAAAUCCUGGAGCUCAACUCCAGAACUGCCUUUGAUACUGAAGAUCUUGAGUCCGGGAGAGGUGAGUGGAACUGCGAGUGUAGAGGUGAAAUUCGUAGAUAUUCGCAAGAACACCAGUGGCGAAGGCGGCUCACUGGCCCGGUACUGACGCUCAUGCACGAAAAGCCGUGGGGAGCAAACAGG